CACUGCUCCGCCGUCCCAGGCCUCCUUUUUUGAGGCAGGCCCCUCACCUGGCCGCCCGCGGGCGUGGCAGUUCAUGCCCCGGGGUUAGAAGGAACACAGCAAGCACGUCUCAGUGGGGUGUCCCUGUAAGCAGAGCCUGGGACCAGGGUUCAAGUGCUAGUCAUUUGCUUGGGUCUCAAUCCCAGGAAACCCCGUACCGAGCGGGACGUGAGCCAGAGGAGGGAAAGCAUCCAAUAAAAGGCGUGUCAGCAAACCAUGGACGCGGCGGCUUCGAGCCGAGUGCUGCUGGGGAGCACACGCCCCGGCGGAGGGGCCGGGCGCUGGGUGAGGGCGCCUUCUGGGGACGGUAACUGCUGCACUUCUGGUGCCCGGGGCCACAGCAAGCAGCUUCCGGAGAGCAGAAGGGGGUGCCAAGGGACUGGGGUGAGGCCCUGCCAGGUCCUCUUGGUGUGUCCGUGUGAUGGGGGUCGCCACCGGCCCCCACCUACUCAGCCCCAGGGAGUUGGUCCCGGGCGGCCUCAGCCCAGCAGGACCGGGCGCUGUCGGGUUAGGAGCGGCGCCUCUGGGACCGUGGCCGCCUCCUGCACACGGGGGAGACUGUAAGGUGGGGAGCUGCAAGGAGGGGCGUGGAGGGGGUUUGCAGGGAGGCCCGCCAGGGAGGAAGCAGAGGGAGCCGGCUGCCCGCCGCCUCUUAGGAAACUUCCCUGGGCCCUGCCCGCCGCCUCCGCACGCGCUUGAAUCUCCAACGAACAGAGGACCCAGCUACUGAAAAGCGGAGCGGAAGCGUGCUGCUCGCACGGAACAGCGAGUGUGCAGGCGAUACAACUGUCAUCGCCAAGAAACAGGAAUGCUCACGGGCUGCUGCUCAUCUUGUGGAGGACGGUGAAAAACAGAAGCCUUCCCCCAAAUCUUGGUGCCCGUCUUCCUGAAGGGCUACCUAGAAACGUGUUUCAUAAUCUCAGAGCACACGACCUCCUGCGCAGACACCGCUUGGGAACCGAGGGAGGGUCCCCGGGCAGCGCGCGGACAUCGGCCUUCCGUGCACGCGCUCUGCACCCUCCCGCCGCAGCGGGGACGGGAGCCGAGGCCCGGUGUGCGGCCCCCGCCCGACGGCCACGCGGGGACCCGGGCUGCGCCAUCCCCCGAGGGUCACUAUGGGGCCUCGUAAAAGCGCGGGGCCGCGCGGCCCGCGCAGCCACAGCCGGCGCCCCGGAAGGCGUGAACUCCGGGAGGCAGCAGUGCCUGCGAGCAGCUGGAAGGCUCUGGUAGCGUUAACCCUCCGGGGCUGCGUGCCCGGCGGCUGCGAGGGACCGGAAGUGCGCGCUGGCGCCGGAAGUGGGGUCGCCGCUCGGCGGGAGGGAGGACCUUGAGACUGAGGCGGGGGGAGUCUCGCUUCGUCCUUCGUGCUUUCACCUCUCUGCCGGGAGGGUCGUGAGGUGUGAGGAGGACACAGGAGUGGCCGGUGGCCCGCCUCGGGGCCUUUGCGGGGCGCGCUGGGCGCGGGGACUCACGGCCUCCGGCGGCUCCGGCUUCCAGAACAAGCGCGUGAGCGCGGCCGCCCUCCGCGAGCCUUCGCCACCACGGUCUGUUUGACCCUCACGGAUGAAGAAGGGAGAGGCCGGAUUUCAGAUGAGUGCUUUCGGCAGGCAAGAACACGUCGGGGAGGACGAAGACCCCGUCCGCUGACAAGGGUGACAGUAAACCUCGAGGGCAGGGCUGUGUGCCACGUCUCAGCAGGUGGCCUGGAGGACAGACCUCCUUGCAGGUGCCGUUUAACACCGUGCUUCCAUAGUUCCUUCAACCUUCAUUGUAGUUUCACUCAAGGGACUUCGCCCGUGGUCCCAUGGUAGAGAAUCCGCCUUCCAAUGCAGGGGACUCGGGUUCAAUCCCUGGCGGGGGAACUGAGCUCCCACGUGCUCCCACGUGCUGCUAGGCAGCUAAGCCCACGCAGGGCCACUGCUGAGCUCCCGCACCUCAAGGCAGCAACUAAGACCCAACACAGCCCCCCCCCCCAAAAAAAAGAAGAAAAUAUAAUUUCACUCAAGUAAUUUAUAAAUAGUCCUGCCAAGUGCUCACUUUUAUCUUAGCGUAUUAAUAAUCACAGAAUCAGAGACAGGAUCUACUCCCCAAAUGCUACGGUCUAAGAAGCAACUACUCCCCAAAUGCUACGGUCUAAGAAGCAACGCUUGUAUAAGGCUUAAUAAUACUUAACUGUGAAAGGAAGGGCCAGGGAGCUAUGACCUAAAUGAAAACCACAUUUUUGACAACAAAAAUAAAACCUCGAAUGGGAAAAAAAAAGACUUAAGAGGCUUGUGUAUUGACUGUUCCUGGGUACAGUUUGUGACAAAGUCUGUGCUAGUGUGUCUCCUGAUGGUGGUGUUCACAGUGACACAAAUGAAUUUAUCUAUAAGACAUCAUAAAAACAAAAAACCCACAAGGCUGUUUCUCCAAAAUUUUAUUUUAAUUUAAAUUACAGGGCCAGCCAGAUAAUCUGAUAAGAAAUUUACUUUUCCUCAAGAGAAAGGAAAUGCUUCCAUGGCAUUGUUAACGACUGUAUACAUCUCCACCUUUUUUUAAGGGUUAAAAAUCACAUUGAGUAACUGACUUAUGUAAAAUGAAACCUUUAUAACACAAAAAGAAACCACUUCCGGUAUAAUAAUUUUGGUAAUAUGAAUAUAUUAAAUGAUCAUAACUUCAAAUGCAACUUUUCAACUUUGAAUGUUUUCACAUUUUUGUUUAAAAACAACAAAAAACCAAAAGUCUUAACUAUCCCCAGAUUCCAAUGCGAUAGUAACACAUCAGUGUUUUCUUUGACACGCUGCACCCCUGUCUUCCACACAAAGGCUCUAGUGCUAUGACAGCAUUGCCAAAGUGGAAGCUGUUGUUUCAAGUUCUAAGAACCAGCUUGGCAAGGAAACCUUUCUUCCACUUGGUGUAAUUAAUGUUUGCACACGAAAUCCAGAUACCCAGCACUGGACCACGAGAACAGAAUGAUGCACCGCAGCCAAGUCUGCCUUCCUAAACGUCUUGGAUAUUUUCAUUUCAAGGAGCUUGGAUUGCUUUCUCUAGUUCCGAUAGAAAAACAUGAAUCAUUUUACACAGAUUUUGAUAAAGACAGCCUCAGGAAAACCAAUUAUAAGUGUAGACUGCCAUUUCAAUUAAAUAGAAUAAAAUACAUCUAUGUUUUCUGGAGCUGUUUUCCUAACUGGUGCUCCUAGAAGGAGAUCUUAAAGCCUGCUGAAACAUCAAUUGGGAGUCUCACUUUACUGGCUGAUAAAUAAUUCAAUUAGUGAGAGAGGCUAGCAAAGAAUAAUUAUAUAAAUUUCUUAAUCAGCUACAGCCAUGCUGAAUUCGAACUGGCAAACUCUGAUUUGUAAGUUGUUAGUUGUGAUCUUCAUAUCACUAAGAUGAACAGAUGCCAUUCUAAUAACUUUACAUAGAUAUAUUCUAGGAGACGUUCUGCCGUGGUCACAGUAACAAAAAAGUGGUGCAAAAUCAGUUACUUUAUAAAUACUGAUAAUUUGCAGCAUUAAGGAACAGGACAUUAAAAAAAAUAAAUUUCCCCAUAGGACACCUAUGACUAGGAACUCUUCUUUUCCUAAGAGAAGCCAAAGUUUUAAUUAUUCAGUUUCACAACUAUUGUACUGGAUUACUUUAAGAAAGAAAAGGUGCUCUACAGAGGUCUCCCACACACACAAAGAAUCGGCGUUAAUUUAGCAUAAUCGGUAUCAUUCAUAGAUCUGGAGAACUCAUGACUCAUUUUAAAUGAAUAAGGCCAAUAUUAUGCAGCAAAGUGUAGCUGACUUGAGUUCCAGGUCUGUAUUGUAGCCUACUGAUGGCACCCCAUUGGAUAACUGAAUACAAAGGAUUGGUUUACUUUUUCUUUUAAUGCUGUGAUACUUAAAUGUUAAAUCAGCAUUUUCAGGUGAUCUUAAGUAUUUCAAUUACAUAUGAGCAUUCAUUUUUUGCAAAAACUCAAUAUUAGGUAAUAGUUACAUACUAAUACAAUAACAUUCCUCUGCUGUACAAAUUAAAUCAUUUAAAAGAAAUGAGCAUUCUAAGAAUUAUAUACAAAAGAAAACUUUAAGCAUUGUUGAAAUGAAAUGCGAGGUGUCGUUGCUAGCUCUACUGUUUUAAAAUACCUUCAAAAAGUAAAAUUAACAAAUACCCUUCAACAUAUCCAGGUUUACAAGUCUCAAGAAAAUCAAAUGUCAAAAAAUUCUAGAAAGCUGUGAAAAGCAUAUAUACAUUUUCCUUAUGACCUUACGAAGCUUCACAAUUUUGAGAAGCUGCUAAGUUUCAGUAUCAAUUUAUUCGUGUGUCAACUUUAUCCACCCAAGAAGCUCACAUCUUGGAUAUAGUUCCCCUAUGAUUUCAAAUAAAGCUCUGCACAGUCUUCCAUUAGUGAAGGCAUAUAAUCUUACCAAGAAUCCACACCCAGAUCUUU